GUGCUAUACAUGCAGUCGAGCGCGGGAAGCAAGCUGAUCCUCUUCGGAGGUGACGCUUGUGGAACGAGCGGCGGACGGGUGAGUAACACGUGGGCAACCUGCCUGUAAGACUGGGAUAACCCCGGGAAACCGGGGCUAAUACCGGAUAAUACUUUUCAUCACCUGAUGGAAAGUUGAAAGGUGGCUUUUAGCUACCACUUACAGAUGGGCCCGCGGCGCAUUAGCUAGUUGGUGAGGUAACGGCUCACCAAGGCAACGAUGCGUAGCCGACCUGAGAGGGUGAUCGGCCACACUGGGACUGAGACACGGCCCAGACUCCUACGGGAGGCAGCAGUAGGGAAUCUUCCGCAAUGGACGAAAGUCUGACGGAGCAACGCCGCGUGAGUGAUGAAGGUUUUCGGAUCGUAAAGCUCUGUUGUUAGGGAAGAACAAGUGCCGUUCGAAUAGGGCGGCACCUUGACGGUACCUAACCAGAAAGCCCCGGCUAACUACGUGCCAGCAGCCGCGGUAAUACGUAGGGGGCAAGCGUUGUCCGGAAUUAUUGGGCGUAAAGCGCGCGCAGGCGGUCCUUUAAGUCUGAUGUGAAAGCCCACGGCUCAACCGUGGAGGGUCAUUGGAAACUGGAGGACUUGAGUACAGAAGAGGAGAGUGGAAUUCCACGUGUAGCGGUGAAAUGCGUAGAGAUGUGGAGGAACACCAGUGGCGAAGGCGACUCUCUGGUCUGUAACUGACGCUGAGGCGCGAAAGCGUGGGGAGCGAACAGGAUUAGAUACCCUGGUAGUCCACGCCGUAAACGAUGAGUGCUAGGUGUUAGGGGUUUCCGCCCCUUAGUGCUGAAGUUAACGCAUUAAGCACUCCGCCUGGGGAGUACGGCCGCAAGGCUGAAACUCAAAAGAAUUGACGGGGGCCCGCACAAGCGGUGAGCAUGUGGUUUAAUUCGACGCAACGCGAAGAACCUUACCAGGUCUUGACAUCCUCUGCAAUCGGU
rnacentral:rRNA from 1 species